rnacentral:rRNA from 1 species
UGCGUAGGCGGGCUGGAAAGUCAGAGGUGAAAUCCCGGGGCUCAACCCCGGAACUGCCUUUGAAACUUCCAGUCUUGAGUCCGGAAGAGGUGAGUGGAAUUCCGAGUGUAGAGGUGAAAUUCGUAGAUAUUCGGAAGAACACCGGUGGCGAAGGCGGCUCACUGGUCCGGUACUGACGCUGAGGUACGAAAGCGUGGGGAGCAAACAGGAUUAGAUACCCUGGUAGUCC